UACAGAGGGUGCAAGCGUUGUUCGGAAUUAUUGGGCGUAAAGCGCGUGUAGGCGGCUUUGCAAGUCGGGUGUGAAAUCCCUCAGCUCAACUGAGGAAGUGCGCCCGAAACUGCAGAGCUUGAGUACCGGAGAGGAUGGUGGAAUUCCCAAGUAGAGGUGAAAUUCGUAGAUAUGGGGAGGAACACCGGUGGCGAAGGCGACCAUCUGGACGGAUACUGACGCUGAGACGCGAAAGCGUGGGGAGCAAACAGG
rnacentral:rRNA from 1 species